GGGGAGAUGCCAGAGUGGACUAAUGGGACCGCCUGCUAAGCGGUUGAGGGGCCAAAAAGCUCCUCCGUGGGUUCGAAUCCCACUCUCCCCGCCU
rnacentral:tRNA from 1 species